rnacentral:piRNA from 1 species
UCCCCAAAGAUGUCAAGAUAUUGUCUGUGU